rnacentral:lncRNA from 1 species
CGGCAUCUGGAGGUUCCCAGGUCAGGGGUCCAAUCAGAGCUACAGCUGCCAGCCUGCACCACAGUCACAGCAACGCCAGAUCUGAGCUGUGUCUGCGACCUACACCACAGCUCCCGGCAACGCCAGAUCCUUAACCCACUGAGUGAGGCCCGGGAUCGAACCCACAGUCUCAUGGACGCUAGUCAGGUUUGUUACCACUGAGCUAUGACGGGAACUUCACAGAUAUUUUUUAUGGACAUAGUUUAUCAUUUAAUUCUGUUUGUGAUGUGUCUCUGUCACCACGCCGAAUUCUCAUAUGGUUGAAUAUAAGGCUCUCCUAUUAUUUGUCCUAUUUUAUAAUUUAAUCCAUCCCAACACUGAUACCAUAAAAACAUUUUCCUAUAUUUUCCUCUCAAAGUUGCGAAAUUUUGCUUUCCCAGCUGAGUUCUUGCGUCCAAGGGAAGGGGCUGGUGUCACGGGGUGGGGGCUCUGACUGCAUCUCCCCACAGACGGCACCUUGGCCCCCAGCCUCACCAGCGUCCCCUCCCCGGGGCUGAGCUCACGGCGCAGAAGGCCUGCAGCUCCUCCUCCAGGACGUCCCACGGGACCUGCCAUCCAGGCUGGCAGGGGCGGCGCCCACCCUCCUCUCGUGCUGCUCCUGCAGUCCGGCCACCUGGGUCCCCUGACAGGUGACCAGCUUGCCAUCUGGGAGCGUUCCUGGGCCUGUCGGCUGCGCCUCCUCCCUCCCCGAUCCGGUGGCCUGUCAGGGUCCAGACACGCCGCCUCCUCCAGGAUGGACCCUGCGAUUCCGCCUCCUGCGCUGGCUGGCUUCCGACCAGGGCUGCCAGGAGACUACGCUUCACUUGGCUGCCCUCAGCGUUUGGUUUGCUUCUGUGUUCUUUCCAAGCACGCCGCGGUCAGCCCGGUACACUACGGGCUGAACUCCUUGUCCAGAACACGCCCCGAGGUGACCUGCUCCCGGACCUGCCACCACCUGCACCCUGAGCUCCGGCGUGUGUGUCGUCCACUCAGCAAACACCCACCGGGCACCGACUCGGCCCGACCCUGCCUUAGCGGGCUGGGACGUGCCAGGGACCAAAGCAGGCGAGAACGCCUGCUCCUGCAGAGCUCCCGCUGGAAAAGCUCCACUGGGAUUCCCACUUUGAUCCAGGAAACGCUUUAAAGCAUCUCCUUUGGUUUGUGAGCAGUGAAGAUUUGAGGGUCUGGAGAAGGACGCCGCGUGCUGCUGCUGCUGCGGGAACUAGCAACUCUCUGCAGUCUGCGCAAGUUGUUCCAUCAAGACCGUUUCUGUAGGGCGCCCACGCUUACGUGUUUUAUUUUCCAUUCUUAUUUAGUUUCUGGCUGCGCUCACGGCACCUGGAAGUUCCCGGGCCACAGAUCGAACCAUCCACAGCCGGCUGGAUCCUCAACCUGCUGCAGCACCAGGGAACCCCAAAUGCUCAUUUUAAAAGAGCAGGCUCCCAACAACAGUGCACUGCACCCAGCCUGCCCCCCGUGUGCUCAGACCCCCGGGCCUCCCUCCACUCUCACCUGCCUCACGGCCAGGUCUAUACUCAAGCCACCGGGGCAGCUCAGCUCCCUUCCCCCCGGCACUCUGUCGGGUUUGAAAACCCACUUUGCGUGCUGCCGGCAGAGCAGUGAGCGCCACACGCCCCCGCCCCCAGGGGCUUCUGUUUCCUAGUCCACGACUCUCUCGCCCUAGUAACUCCUUUUGUCCUAAGACCCCAACAGACAGGUGAGAAGCAAGCAGGGCAAAGCCAGAACUACCCGAGUUGGGAGCGGCGAGGCCGACUGCAGAGAGCCCCUGGGAGGGAGGGAGGGAAGAGCCAGGGCCAGGCCGGUGCGCACGAGCGCCCCCUCCCGAGGCCCUCCUUGGAGGGCGGCAGCACCGGAGAGCCCUGUGCUCACAUUCAGACCCCUGCGGCCCCUGCCGGCCCCAGGCAGCGCCUCCUCUGCGUGGCAGGCGUGCCCGGGCUGCGGACGUGCUCCCACGGCCACGCUCCCCUCAGCCCUGCCGAGCAAGGCCCACGAGCCUCCGGGCCCAGACUCGGUCUCGCCCGGAUCCCCUACGCCUCGGCCCCCUUCCACCCGUGAGGCCGCCUGGCGGCUCCCUCCUCCUGAAUGGCCAGGGCGUCGGGCGAGCCUCCGGGUCUCUCCUGGCCGGCGCUAGGUCCCCUGGUCCUUUCCAGGGCCCUGGUCACGGCUCCCAACCACACACGGCCCCACGGGCCUGCGGCAGCCAGCAUCCACUCAGGGGCCCUCGCUCAGAGACGCAGGCCCUCCUGGAGCCGGAGGCGCCCUUUCCUUAAGGGCAGCGGUGCGUCCUAGAACCCCUCAGCCCAGCCCUCUGCGUGUGGUCAGGAGCAGGGGCAGCAUCCGCUCAGUGCCCGCAGCGAGUCUGGCAGAUUCCCAUGCGGCUGGCAGUUGGGGCAUCUGUCGACCUGGCCCCUCCCUCAGGGAGAAGGAUGCUUAGCAAAACCUCCAUCAGAAUGCGGUGCCCACGGUCCCUGGACAGGCACCCUCGCCACCCCUCACACCUCUGCCCAUGGCCAGGUGUGAGCGCCACCACGUGGCGACGCCGCCAGCCCCGAGCACGCAGGGAUGGCUCGCGGUCUGUAAGCCGUCGGCAUCUGCCCUGGUCUCCCGUCCCCAAACCACAGCCUCGUCCUUUUAAGCCGGCUGCAGCAUGAAGGACAAGGUCCAAGCCCCUGAGCCGGACGGACGAGUGCCUGACACACGACCCACGUCGCCCAGAGUCCAUGUUCUCCGCCCGCUGAACGGCCCGCGCGCGGCCUGAGACCUGCCCGGCUGCAGCUCCCCGGCUGGAGCCAAGGACUCGGUGACCCUCCGGCGUUUCACCGCCGUCCCCGGGGCAGGCCCACCGUCCUCUGGAGGCCCAGGCCCGGCCAGAGGGACCCUCUCCACGCACCGUCCAGCUUCAUCUGCUCCGGGCAGUAGUAGUGGACCACAGCCAGGAGGGCGGCCCCGUCACUGCCAUCCCUCAUCAGGUCCUCCAGCAGCGGGAAGUGGGGCGGCUGCCUCGCGGACAGGUGUUCUCGGCGGUAGCGCACCUGCAGCGGGGAACAGGAAGAGGGUCACGGCGCGGGCAGCCCACGUGCCGUGACGGCACCUGCACCACCACGACCACGGGCAGGCCGUGAGGUCUAGGGUCAGCAGAGCUCCUGCCGCACAACUCGGAGCAGCCGAAUCACGCGGAAGAGCCCAAAUGCCCAGACGGCACACUCUGCCUGGCCCGCCGUCAAGAUUCAGUGGUGGGGCUUUGUGGCCACACCGGGUGACAGCAAUGAGCUGCUAGGGACACCAGGGCCACCUCGCUCUUCGGGGCCACGCAGGCCCAGGGGAGGAGGCAGGCGGCCCUCCACGCAGAGGCCCGUGUACCAUGAGCCUGAGAAACAAGUUUCCAGGGGAGCAUCCGAACCCCUGCAAGACCCGCACUGCCGCUGCUUUUCGCAAAACGACCGGCAUCACCCCGGCCGCUGGGAAAAGCAGGGGGGGCAGGGGAGCACCGUCACCCAGCCCGAGGGGUCGGCAAGCCAGGUCGGACCCAACGCCACCAAACACACCAACCCGCCCCCGGCAGGUGCACGGGAGCGUCAGGAACCCGCGUGCAGGCAAAGUGCGCCCGGCAGAGGCACGGGGGUCAAGGUCUCUGCUCGCUGCCUGGGUCUUUUGAGCCCCCGCUGCCGCCAGGCCCCCCCGCAGGGAAGCGUGGCGUUUCCCGCAGCCGCCUCCUCCCCAGGGAGGAGGACACAGCGCCAGCCCCAGGGAGAAAGCCCGCUGCCCGCGGACCUGAGAGCCGCUCAGAGCUCAACCCUACGAGCGCUGCCCCGCAGCCUGGGACCCGGAGUCGUCGCCCAGCGAGGGCACAGGGCAGGGCGGUCAGCACUGGCCUCUGGGCAGAACCCUCAGCCUGUCCUCCUCCACUUCGGGUCACUGGCCCCGGCUUCGACGUGGCCUCUAACUUGUUUCUCGGGCUCGCAUGCAGGGCACGAGGCAUGCGCAGGCUCCACGCACAGACAGACAGCACACAGGCGAGCACGGCAUGCAGGGAAGCGCGUGUUCUCGGCCGAGGAUGGACGGCAGCACGCGAGCCCGGGAAGGGACCCUGCCAGGGGGCCCUGCUCGGAGGAAAGCCUCACGGGAGGAAAGCUGAAGGGUCUCUGCCUUGGGUCACAUCUUCCAGCUUCCAGAAAACUCUCACCCAAAACCCUGCCUCCUGUCGGGCCCUACACUUCUGACGGUGGCUGCGGUGAGCCUCAGAAGGGAGCAGGUGGCUCUGGGGCCUUGGGGAUUUAAGACUCCGUGGAGAGGAAUGUAAACACCCAUCCAGACGCGUCCCCCUCUGGUAGCGAGACAUUCCAAGGAGCAGCAGACGUCGCCACGGCCACAAACGGGGCUGUUUCUCACUGCUCACACAGAUCCCGCUUACAGCCUGGAUCCACGGUUCCUCCUUGAUGACAGAAUGCUAAGGAUGUUUGACCCAAAUAACUAAACUAAAGGGACAGGCAAAAGGAGUGGGCAAAACAAUUCGUUCUCCAACAUUCCAUUGUAAAAUGGACCACCUGGAGUGGCAAGAGUUUUGCCGCAGGACAGUGUGACAAACGGGUCCUGCUUCCAGAGUGCGUCGCCAAGGGGGGCAGAGCCAGACUGCAGGGCCAGGUCCUCGGGGCAGAAACAUCGGGGAAGAACAGCAGCCGAGGGGAAACCAGACGGCGGGGCCCUCCUGGGCCCUGUCGGGGAGGGGGGGCUCUGCCUUCACCUCUCAGCUCCCCCUGGGCCCCGUCAGCAGGGGGGGGCCUCUGCCUUCACCUCUCAGCUCCCCCUGGGCCCCAUCGGGGGUGGGGGGGGCUCUGCCUUCACCCCUCAGCUCCUCCUGGGCCCCGUCAGUGGGGGGGAGCCUCUGCCUUCACCUCUCAGCUCAGCAGUGGGGGGCCUCUGCCUUCACCUCUCAGCUCCUCCUGGGCCCCGUCGGGGGGGAGGGGGCUCUGCCUUCACCUCUCAGCUCCCCCUGGGCCCCGUCAGCAGGGGGGACCCUGUCCUCUUCCUCUCAGCUCCUCGGUAAAGAGAGGACUGAAAGUCCACAGAGGACACACAAAACCGCCUGUAAAUUUACUCUGCCUGUCGUUGGCUCUAAAACGCCACUGAGUCCCCACGGGCCUCGCCCCGUCCACCCUGCCCAGAACCGGGCUGCUCCGGCACCACCACCACACGGGGAGGACAGUCCACAGAGAAACGGCCGCGCGCGGUUUUGGAUGGAAGCAGGUGACGGCGACAGGACGGCUGUCUGGGCGGCGGCAGUGCGAGGUCACUUACGGGCACUAACUUCCAGUACCACUUGGAGGGAGACUGCGGGAGGCGCGGGAAGGAAGGCAGGAGAAGAGGUCAGCAGGGCCAGCUGCGUGGGGACCAGGAGCCCCGCCCCAGCGCUCACAGGACGGGCGGGCGUCCUCGAGGGACAAGGUCUGUCCGGUGCCCGCGGCCCGACAUGCCGCCUGGCAGAUGACCGCAGUGGACGGCCACCCGCGCGACACCAGCCGCUGCGCGAGCUAAGGACACUCUGGACGCGCACGCGGCUGGCCACCAAGAGCGAGGGGCCCCGACCACACUCGGGGAGAGGCUCGGCGAGCGCCCCCUGCCCACCUGGGGAAUGGGGAGGCCAAGGGAAGGGGGACGAGACAAUCCCCGGAGCCCAGGGGGAGGGAGGGGCCGGGGACUCGCUCGCUCCGCAGCCCAGGAGCGGCGGGCAGGCAGGCAGGCCAGGCCAGGCCGGCCUCGAGGACGCGGCUUCAGGCCCGCAGGUCGGGAAGAACAGGACGGGAGGGCUGAUCUCCCUGGUCCCCUGACGGGGGC